rnacentral:rRNA from 1 species
AGUGAACGCUGGCGGUAGGCCUAACACAUGCAAGUCGAACGGCAGCACAGUAAGAGCUUGCUCUUACGGGUGGCGAGUGGCGGACGGGUGAGGAAUACAUCGGAAUCUACUUUUUCGUGGGGGAUAACGUAGGGAAACUUACGCUAAUACCGCAUACGACCUACGGGUGAAAGCAGGGGAUCUUCGGACCUUGCGCGAUUGAAUGAGCCGAUGUCGGAUUAGCUAGUUGGCGGGGUAAAGGCCCACCAAGGCGACGAUCCGUAGCUGGUCUGAGAGGAUGAUCAGCAACACUGGAACUGAGACACGGUCCAGACUCCUACGGGAGGCAGCAGUGGGGAAUAUUGGACAAAGGGCGCAAGCCUGAUCCAGCCAUACCGCGUGGGUGAAGAAGGCCUUCGGGUUGUAAAGCCCUUUUGUUGGGAAAGAAAAGCAGCAGGUUAAUACCCCGCUGUUCUGACGGUACCCAAAGAAUAAGCACCGGCUAACUUCGUG